GGGCCCGCACAAGCGGUGGAGCAUGUGGCUUAAUUCGAGGCAACGCGAAGAACCUUACCUGGUCUUGACAUGCCCGUCAUAGUUUUCCGAAAGGAAUUCGUCGGUUCGGCCGGACGGUGCACAGGUGCUGCAUGGCUGUCGUCAGCUCGUGUCGUGAGAUGUUCGUUAAGUCCGGCAACGAGCGCAACCCUCGUUCCUAGUUGCCAGCGGGUAAUGCCGGGGACUCUAGGAAGACAAACCUCGUGUAGAGGUGGGAAGGUGGGGACGACGUCAAGUCAGUAUGGCCCUUACGACCAGGGCUGCACACGUGCUACAAUGCCCGGUACAAUGGGUUAAUCCCAAAAAGGCUAUCUC
rnacentral:rRNA from 1 species